rnacentral:rRNA from 1 species
GAUGAACGCUGGCGGCGUGCUUAACACAUGCAAGUCGAACGAAGAUGCCGGAGUGCUUGCACUUUGGCAGACUGAGUGGCGGACGGUGAGUAACGCGUGGGUAACCUGCCCUAUACAGGGGGACAACAGUUGGAAACGACUGCUAAUACCGCAUAAGCGCACAGUACCGCAUGGUACAGAGCGAAAAAACUCCGGUGGUAUAAGAUGGACCCGCGUCUGAUUAGCCAGUUGGCAGGGUAACGGCUACCAAAGCGACGAUCAGUAGCCGGCCUGAGAGGGUGAACGGCCACAUUGGGACUGAGACACGGCCCAAACUCCUACGGGAGGCAGCAGUGGGGAAUAUUGCACAAUGGGGGAAACCCUGAUGCAGCGACGCCGCGUGAGUGAUGAAGUAUUUCGGUAUGUAAAACUCUAUCAGCAGGGAAGAUAAUGACGGUACCUGACUAAGAAGCACCGGCUAAAUACGUG